UACGUAGGUGACAAGCGUUGUCCGGAUUUACUGGGCGUAAAGAGCGAGCAGGCGGUCGUUCAAGUCGAGUGUGAAAGCCCCCGGCUCAACUGGGGAGGGUCAUUCGAUACUGAUCGACUCGAAGGCAGGAGAGGGAAGUGGAAUUCCCGGUGUAGUGGUGAAAUGCGUAGAUAUCGGGAGGAACACCAGUGGCGAAGGCGACUUCCUGGCCUGUUCUUGACGCUGAGGCGCGAAAGCUAGGGGAGCAAACGGG
rnacentral:rRNA from 1 species